UUGAACUGAAGAGUUUGAUCCUGGCUCAGAUUGAACGCUGGCGGCAUGCCUUACACAUGCAAGUCGAACGGCAGCACGGGUGCUUGCACCUGGUGGCGAGUGGCGAACGGGUGAGUAAUACAUCGGAACAUGUCCUGUAGUGGGGGAUAGCCCGGCGAAAGCCGGAUUAAUACCGCAUACGAUCCACGGAUGAAAGCGGGGGACCUUCGGGCCUCGCGCUAUAGGGUUGGCCGAUGGCUGAUUAGCUAGUUGGUGGGGUAAAGGCCUACCAAGGCGACGAUCAGUAGCUGGUCUGAGAGGACGACCAGCCACAC
rnacentral:rRNA from 1 species